rnacentral:rRNA from 1 species
GUGGGGAAUAUUGGACAAUGGGCGAAAGCCUGAUCCAGCCAUGCCGCGUGUGUGAAGAAGGUCUUCGGAUUGUAAAGCACUUUAAGUUGGGAGGAAGGGCAGUAAGUUAAUACCUUGCUGUUUUGACGUUACCGACAGAAUAAGCACCGGCUAACUUCGUGCCAGCAGCCGCGGUAAUACGAAGGGUGCAAGCGUUAAUCGGAAUUACUGGGCGUAAAGCGCGCGUAGGUGGUUUUGUAAGUUGGAGGUGAAAUCCCCGGGCUCAACCUGGGAACUGCCUCCAAAACUGCAUGACUAGAGUACGGUAGAGGGUAAUGGAAUGUCCUGUGUAGCAGUGAAAUGCGUAGAUAUAGGAAGGAACACCAGUGGCGAAGGCGACUACCUGGACUGAUACUGACACUGAGGUGCGAAAGCGUGGGGAGCAAACAGGAUUAGAUACCCGUGUAGUCC